UUGAUCUGAAAUCAGGUGGGAUUACCCGCUGAACUUAAGCAUAUCAAUAAGCGGAGGAAAAGAAAAUAACAAUGAUUUCCCUAGUAACGGCGAGUGAAGAGGAAAGAGCUCAAAGUUGGAAACUGUUUGGCUUAGCUAAACCGUAUUGUAAACUGUAGAAACAUUUUCCUGGCACACCAGAUUAAUAAGUCCUUUGGAACAAGGCAUCAUGGAGGGUGAGAAUCCCGUCUUUGAUCUGAGUAGUUGUCUUUUGUGAUAUGUUUUCAAAGAGUCAGGUUGUUUGGGAAUGCAGCCUAAAUUGGGUGGUAAAUCUCACCUAAAGCUAAAUAUUUGCGAGAGACCGAUAGCGAACAAGUACCGUGAGGGAAAGAUGAAAAGAACUUUGAAAAGAGAGUUAAACAGUAUGUGAAAUUGUUAAAAGGGAACCGUUUGGAGCCAGACUGGUUUGCUUGUAAUCAACCUAGAAUUCGUUUUGGGUGCACUUGCAGGCUAUACCUGCCAACAACAGUUUGAUUUGGAGGAAAAAAUUAAUAGGAAUGUAGCCUCUCGAGGUGUUAUAGCCUAUUAUCAUACUCUGGAUUGGACUGAGGAACGCAGCGAAUGCCUUUAGGCAAGAUUGCUGGGUGCUUUCGCUAAUAAAUGUUAGAAUUUCUGCUUCGGGUGGUGCUAAUGUUUAAAGGAGGAACAC
rnacentral:rRNA from 1 species